rnacentral:sRNA from 1 species
GCAGGGCACGGUGGCGCAUGCCUGUAAACCCAGAGGCUCGGGAGGCUGAGGCAGGAGGAUCUGGAGUUCAAAGCCAGCCCCAGCAAUGGCGAGGCGCUAGGCAACUCAGUGAGACCCUGUCUCUA